UACGGGGGGAGCAAGCGUUGUUCGGAUUUACUGGGCGUAAAGGGCGCGUAGGCGGCCUCUGCAAGUCGACUGUGAAAUCUCCGGGCUUAACCCGGAAAGGUCAGCCGAUACUGCAGGGCUAGAGUGCAGAAGGGGCAACUGGAAUUCUCGGUGUAGCGGUGAAAUGCGUAGAUAUCGGGAGGAACAUCAGUGGCGAAGGCGGCUACCUGGCCCAAUACUGACACUCAGGUGCGACAGCGUGGGGAGCAAACAGGG
rnacentral:rRNA from 1 species